ACGCUCGACACCUACGGGGGCAGCAGUUGGGAAUAUUGGACAAUGGAGGAAACUCUGAUCCAGUGACGCCGCGUGAAGGAAGAGGGUCUUCGGAUUGUAAACUUAUUUUGUCAGGGAAGAAAAAAUGACUGUACCUGAAGAAAAAGCACCGGCUAACUACGUGCCCGCAGCCGCGGUAAUCUGAGCGGGCGUGGCAAGGC
rnacentral:rRNA from 1 species